rnacentral:rRNA from 1 species
UACGGAGGGUGCGAGCGUUGUCCGGAAUCACUGGGCGUAAAGAGCGUGUAGGCGGCCUGAAAGGUCAGCUGUGAAAACUCGAGGCUCAACCUCGAGACGUCGGUUGAAACCAUCUGGCUAGAGUCCGGAAGAGGAGUGUGGAAUUCCCGGUGUAGCGGUGAAAUGCGCAGAUAUCGGGAAGAACACCCGUGGCGAAGGCGGCACUCUGGGACGGUACUGACGCUGAGACGCGAAAGCUAGGGGAGCAAACAGG